rnacentral:rRNA from 1 species
UGGGGAAUCUUGCGCAAUGGGCGAAAGCCUGACGCAGCGACGCCGCGUGUGCGAUGAAGGUCUUCGGAUCGUAAAGCACUGUCGCGAGGGAAGAAAGGAAACUGACGGUACCUCGAGAGGAAGCACCGGCUAACUCUGUGCCAGCAGCCGCGGUAAUACAGAGGGUGCGAGCGUUGUUCGGAAUUAUUGGGCGUAAAGCGCGAGUAGGCGGCCUGUCAAGUCGCGUGUGAAAGCUCCAGGCUCAACCUGGAAAGUGCGCGCGAAACUGGCGGGCUUGAGUGCCGGAGAGGGUGGCGGAAUUCCCGGUGUAGAGGUGAAAUUCGUAGAUAUCGGGAGGAACACCAGAGGCGAAGGCGGCCACCUGGAAGGACACUGACGCUGAGAAGCGGAAGCGUGGGGAGCAAACAGGAUUAGAUACCCUGGUAGUCCACGCCGUAAACGAUGAGUGCUAGCUGUGGUGGGAGUUGACCCCUGCCGUGGCGACGC